GAUGAACGCUGGCGGCGUGCCUAAUACAUGCAAGUCGAGCGAACAGACGAGGAGCUUGCUCCUCUGACGUUAGCGGCGGACGGGUGAGUAACACGUGGAUAACCUACCUAUAAGACUGGGAUAACUUCGGGAAACCGGAGCUAAUACCGGAUAAUAUAUUGAACCGCAUGGUUCAAUAGUGAAAGACGGUUUUGCUGUCACUUAUAGAUGGAUCCGCGCCGCAUUAGCUAGUUGGUAAGGUAACGGCUUACCAAGGCAACGAUGCGUAGCCGACCUGAGAGGGUGAUCGGCCACACCGGAACUGAGACACGGUCCAGACUCCUACGGGAGGCCGCAGUAGGGAAUCUUCCGCAAUGGGCGAAAGCCUGACGGAGCAACGCCGCGUGAGGGAUGAAGGGCUUCGGAUCGUAAAACUCUGUUAUUAGGGAAGAACAAAUGUGUAAGUAACUAUGCACGUCUUGACGGUACCUAAUCAGAAAGCCACGGCUAACUACGUG
rnacentral:rRNA from 1 species